UAAAAAAUAGGUCUCAGUUCAGAUUGCAGGCUGCAACCCGCCUGCAUGAAGUCGGAAUUGCUAGUAAUCGCGGAUCAGCAUGCCGCGGUGAAUACGUUCCCGGGCCUUGUACACACCGCCCGUCACACCAUGGGAGCCGGUAAUACCCGAAGUCAGUAGUCCAACCUCGUGAGGACGCUGCCGAAGGUAGGAUUGGCGACUGGGGUGAAGUCGUAACAAGGUAUC
rnacentral:rRNA from 1 species